ACGUAGGUUGCAAGCGUUGUCCGGAUUUACUGGGUGUAAAGGGCGUGUAGGCGGAGGUGCAAGUUGGGAGUGAAAUCCCGGGGCUCAACCCCGGAACUGCUUUCAAAACUGUACCCCUUCAGUGUCGGAGAGGCAAGCGGAAUUCCUAGUGUAGCGGUGAAAUGCGUAGAUAUUAGGAGGAACACCAGUGGCGAAGGCGGCUUGCUGGACGAUAACUGACGCUGAGGCGCGAAAGCGUGGGGAGCAAACAGGAUUAGAUACCCUGGUAGUCCACGCUGUAAACGAUGAAUACUAGGUGUGGGAGGACUUACCCCUUCCGUGCCGCAGUUAACACAAUAAGUAUUCCACCUGGGGAGUACGACCGCAAGGUUG
rnacentral:rRNA from 1 species